rnacentral:rRNA from 1 species
GAUGAACGCUGGCGGCGUGCCUAAUACAUGCAAGUCGAGCGAACAGACGAGGAGCUUGCUCCUCUGACGUUAGCGGCGGACGGGUGAGUAACACGUGGAUAACCUACCUAUAAGACUGGGAUAACUUCGGGAAACCGGAGCUAAUACCGGAUAAUAUAUUGAACCGCAUGGUUCAAUAGUGAAAGACGGUUUUGCUGUCACUUAUAGAUGGAUUCGCGCCGCAUUAGCUAGUUGGUAAGGUAACGGCUUACCAAGGCAACGAUGCGUAGCCGACCUGAGAGGGUGAUCGGCCACACUGGAACUGAGACACGGUCCAGACUCCUACGGAAGGCAGCAGUAGGGAAUCUUCCGCAAUGGGCGAAAGCUUGACGGAGCAACGCCACGUGGGUGAUGAAGGUCUUCGGAUCGUAAAACUCUGUUAUUAGGGAAGAACAAAUGUGUAAGUAACUAUGCACGUCUUGACGGUACCUAAUCAGAAAGCCACGGCUAACUACGUG